GAUCCUGGCUCAGAAUCAACGCUGGCGGCGUGCCUCAGACAUGCAAGUCGUACGUGAAAGUCCUUCGGGAUGAGUAAAGUGGCGCACGGGUGAGUAACACGUGAGUUAUCUGCCUUUGGGUGGGGAAUACCAACCGGAAACGGUUGUUAAUACCGCAUAACGCUUGCGCUGUAAUGGCGUAUGUUAAAGCGGGGGAUCAGCAAUGACCUCGCGCCUGAAGAGGAGCUCGCGGCAGAUUAGGUAGUUGGUGAGGUAAUGGCUCACCAAGCCUGCGAUCUGUAGCCGGCCUGAGAGGGCGGUCGGCCACACUGACACUGACAUACGGGUCAGACUCCUACGGGAGGCAGCAGUCGGGAAUUUUGGGCAAUGGGCGAAAGCCUGACCCAGCAACGCCGCGUGAAGGAUGAAGCAUUUCGGUGUGUAAACUUCGCAAGAAUAGGAAGAAUAAGUUUGAACAAAUAAUUCAAACGAUGACGGUACUAUUUAUAAGCUCCGGCUAACUUCGUGCCAGCAGCCGCGGUAAUACGAGGGGAGCAAGCGUUGUUCGGAUUUACUGGGCGUAAAGGGUGCGUAGGCGGCACCACAAGUCACUUGUGAAAUCUUUGGGCUUAACCCAAAGCGGCCAAGUGAUACUGUGGAGCUAGAGUGCAGAAGGGGCAACUGGAAUUCCCGGUGUAGCGGUGAAAUGCG
rnacentral:rRNA from 1 species